UACGUAGGGCGCAAGCGUUGUCCGGAAUUAUUGGGCGUAAAGAGCUCGUAGGCGGUUUGUCGCGUCUGCUGUGAAAACCUAAGGCUCAACCUUGGGCUUGCAGUGGGUACGGGCAGACUAGAGUGCGGUAGGGUGACUGGAAUUCCUGGUGUAGCGGUGGAAGUGCGCAGAUAUCAGGAGGAACACCCGAGUGGCGAAGGCAGGUCACUGGGCCGCAACUGACG
rnacentral:rRNA from 1 species